ensembl:lncRNA
AUGGCUUUCGUGUUGACAGGCAGGGAAGUGUCCACCUUAGAAAGCCUUCGAGAACUUUUCUCCCCAGGACUUCAGGGAGCCAAUACUGUAAUAACAAGAUCCAGGUUUUAUGUUUUUAACAACAUGGUGACAGGAAAAAGUCUUUCUGGCAUCUCAGCCUGUCAUAGGGUGGCUUCCUGGCACCGAGAGCCUCUUAUGCUGAAGGCAAAGCAGGAGGCCAAAGCGAGAUCCAGCGACCCAAGAGAGACUUCAGGCAAAGAUACGCAGAUACGCAUUGGGAAGCUGGCCGUCAUGCACCGAAGCGGUAAGACUAAGGGUGGGACACAAAGAGUCGCUUUCCUAAGGUAUUACAGCAUCACUUAGCAAGCACUGACUAACAUAUUUAGUGGAGCAUGCCCACCAGAUACUCAUGGGCUCACCCACAUUUCCCAGCCAUGUAGCCAAAAGACUGUGAACAGAAGUGACAUGCAUCAUUUCCAGGCAAAAGCAUUUAUGAGUCAGUGUGCAGCCCUUUCGCCCUCCCUUCCCCUAGAAGAGCAAGCCCAAAGCUAUACAUUCCAGGGUAGCUACAGGAUGCGGUCAUACUGGAUCCUGGUGUUACCACUGGGAAAGGAGCUGAUCUAGAAGGCAGCGGGAUCCCCAGCCAGCUCUGUGGAAAAGAGAAACAAACCUACAUGUGUUCAGCCUCUGAGAUUUCCAGGGUUAUUUGUUACUGCCACAUAGCUUAACUGAACCUGUCUAAUAUGCCAAGAUCUUUUGUCCUGAUUUCAAUUUUAUGUAUUCGUUCAACAAAUAAUUACAAAGACAUGAACUGACAUGUGAUUACUAUGUCCCAGGCAUUAUUUUUGGUGCUGGGGAAAUAGCAGUGGACAAAAGGACAAAAAAAAUGUCUGCCCUUAUGGAUGAUCAUAGAUACUAGUGAGAAGUCCCUCUUGCCAUAAAGGAAAAAAGUUUGUUUCUCUUCACAGGAGUUGUAAGAGGUGCAAUAGGAAAUAAGCAUCUAGAGGGAAAGAUGUUCUGGUAUUUUGAUAGGAGGAAAUCUGUCAGUUGAUAUGCAUGAGGCAAGGCUGUUAGAGAACAAGAAAGGAAAAUCUCAAGGCGAACUGCUUUUUGCAUACUGUUUCUUUUUUUUUUUUUUAUUUUUUUUUCAACGUUUUUUAUUUAUUUUUGGGACAGAGAGAGACAGAGCAUGAACGGGGGAGGGGCAGAGAGAGAGGGAGACACAGAAUCGGAAACAGGCUCCAGGCUCCGAGCCAUCAGCCCAGAGCCUGACGCGGGGCUCGAACUCACGGACCGCGAGAUUGUGACCUGGCUGAAGUCGGACGCUUAACCGACUGCGCCACCCAGGCGCCCCUUGCAUACUGUUUCAACAUUUGUUAAAUACCCAUCACGGACCAGGCUUGAUGCUGGAUGGCAGAGAUCAGAAGAUAACUGAGAAUAACACCGUGCUUCCCAAGCUGAGUCUAGUGAAGGGAGAGAAAUAUACACCACGUAUAAAUUCCUCAAUGGCUGCUUUGUGUAUUAUUAAACUUUGAAUCUCGGCCUGACAUAUGGUGAUGCCCAAUAAACGUUUAUGAAAUCUACUAAUGAUGACA